GAAACAGCUCCCAGGAUGCUUGCUGAGGGAGAAACAACAGCAGGCCAUUUGAGCUCCUGGGCCCAAUUCUGAAGAUGUCUCAAGAGUUAGGUGCUGGGCUGAGACUCAACAGGAAGACACAGUUCUCCAAGCAAUGUCAGAAAUCCCCUCAUAUUUUAUGAAUUAGGGAAAGGAAUCCCAUCAGUUCCUCAGAACCACCUCAUCUUUUGACUGUGUUAGAAGAGACUCCCAGG